GACGAACCGUCCUAACGUUGUUCGGAAUCACUGGGCUUAAAGGGCGCGUAGGCGGGUUCCCAAGUCGGUGGUGAAAUCUUUCGGCCCAACCGGAAAACAGCCGCCGAUACUGGGAGUCUUGAGGGAGGUAGGGGUCGAUGGAACUUCCGGUGGAGCGGUGAAAUGCGUAGAUAUCGGAAGGAACGCCGGUGGCGAAAGCGAUCGACUGGACCUUUUCUGACGCUGAGGCGCGAAAGCCGGGGGAGCAAACAGG
rnacentral:rRNA from 1 species